rnacentral:rRNA from 1 species
AAAUUGAAGAGUUUGAUCAUGGCUCAGAUUGAACGCUGGCGGCAGGCCUAACACAUGCAAGUCGAACGGUAACAGGAAGCAGCUUGCUGCUUUGCUGACGAGUGGCGGACGGGUGAGUAAUGUCUGGGAAACUGCCUGAUGGAGGGGGAUAACUACUGGAAACGGUGGCUAAUACCGCAUAACGUCGCAAGACCAAAGAGGGGGACCUUCGGGCCUCUUGCCAUCAGAUGUGCCCAGAUGGGAUUAGCUGGUUGGUGAGGUAACGGCUCACCAAGGCGACGAUCCCUAGCUGGUCUGAGAGGAUGACCAGCCACACUGGAACUGAGACACGGUCCAGACUCCUACGGGAGGCAGCAGUGGGGAAUAUUGCACAAUGGGCGCAAGCCUGAUGCAGCCAUGCCGCGUGUAUGAAGAAGGCCUUCGGGUUGUAAAGUACUUUCAGCGGGGAGGAAGGUGUUGCGGUUAAUAACCGCAGCAAUUGACGUUACCCGCAGAAGAAGCACCGGCUAACUCCGUGCCAGCAGCCGCGGUAAUACGGAGGGUGCAAGCGUUAAUCGGAAUUACUGGGCGUAAAGCGCACGCAGGCGGUCUGUCAAGUCGGAUGUGAAAUCCCCGGGCUCAACCUGGGAACUGCAUUCGAAACUGGCAGGCUUGAGUCUUGUAGAGGGGGGUAGAAUUCCAGGUGUAGCGGUGAAAUGCGUAGAGAUCUGGAGGAAUACCGGUGGCGAAGGCGGCCCCCUGGACAAAGACUGACGCUCAGGUGCGAAAGCGUGGGGAGCAAACAGGAUUAGAUACCCUGGUAGUCCACGCCGUAAACGAUGUCUACUUGGAGGUUGUGCCCUUGAGGCGUGGCUUCCGGAGCUAACGCGUUAAGUAGACCGCCUGGGGAGUACGGCCGCAAGGUUAAAACUCAAAUGAAUUGACGGGGGCCCGCACAAGCGGUGGAGCAUGUGGUUUAAUUCGAUGCAACGCGAAGAACCUUACCUGGUCUUGACAUCCACGGAAGUUUUCAGAGAUGAGAAUGUGCCUUCGGGAACCGUGAGACAGGUGCUGCAUGGCUGUCGUCAGCUCGUGUUGUGAAAUGUUGGGUUAAGUCCCGCAACGAGCGCAACCCUUAUCCUUUGUUGCCAGCGGUCCGGCCGGGAACUCAAAGGAGACUGCCAGUGAUAAACUGGAGGAAGGUGGGGAUGACGUCAAGUCAUCAUGGCCCUUACGACCAGGGCUACACACGUGCUACAAUGGCGCAUACAAAGAGAAGCGACCUCGCGAGAGCAAGCGGACCUCAUAAAGUGCGUCGUAGUCCGGAUUGGAGUCUGCAACUCGACUCCAUGAAGUCGGAAUCGCUAGUAAUCGUGGAUCAGAAUGCCACGGUGAAUACGUUCCCGGGCCUUGUACACACCGCCCGUCACACCAUGGGAGUGGGUUGCAAAAGAAGUAGGUAGCUUAACCUUCGGGAGGGCGCUUACCACUUUGUGAUUCAUGACUGGGGUGAAGUCGUAACAAGGUAACCGUAGGGGAACCUGCGGUUGGAUCACCUCCUUA